rnacentral:rRNA from 1 species
AAGCUCGUAGUUGAAUUUCGGUCUGCCUCAAACGAGGUAUGUACCAGGGAUCUGAGACCAUCCUCGGGAAAAACAUGCCUGUAAUUAAGUUUAUGGGUAUGGGAUUCCCGUCAUUUACUGUGAGCAAAAUAGGGUGUUCAAAGCAGGCUUAUGCCGUUGAAUACAUUAGCAUGGAAUAAUAAGAUAAGACCUUGGUCUAUUUUGUUGGUUUGUACUCCAAAGUAAUGAUUAAUAGGGAUAGUUGGG